CUCGUAAUUGCUGUGGGGAGGACAGGCCAGCUCUGGAAGAAAACAGGAGUUAAAUAAUUGAGCAAGCAUUACUAUUCUGGAGCAUUUCCAACCAGAAGAGGACCAAGGGAGCAGAGAGAGGGUUGUGGGGGCCAAGAUUUGUCAUUUCAGCAUAACCCAGACCAUCCUGACUGAUGCAAUAGCGCUCAGUGUCAUCUGCCAUUGUUAUUGCAGAGUUUUAAGCAGGAAUUUUUGUCUAUUUUUCAACAAAGUUCCUGCCUUUGAAGAAUACAUACUCUGUCAAAAGGAAGACAGAUCAUAAACAAGGAAGUGAUUGACAGAAAAGAUGAUUUAAGAGACUGACAGAUACUUCAAAGGAGAGAAAAUGAGAAGGGUUACAGUAGAGAGAGGCUAGGAGUGGUGGCCUUUUCACGUGUAUGGUCAGGGAGGGCUUCUUGGAGAAGGUGACAUUUGCACUGAGACUUCAAGGAUGAGAAUGAUCAGUUACAUAAGGACCUCCAGGAAGAGUGUUUAAGGCAGAGGAAACAGCCUGUGCAAAGGCCCUGAGGUGGGAGCCUCCCUGGGGUACAGGAGGACACUAGGAGGUC
rnacentral:lncRNA from 1 species